rnacentral:rRNA from 1 species
UACGUAGGGGGCAAGCGUUGUCCGGAUUUAUUGGGCGUAAAAGGCUUGUAGGUGGCCACGCCAAGUCGGAUGUGAAAUCUCCCGGCUCAACUGGGAGGGGUCAUUCGAUACUGGCGGGCUCGAGGCCGGUAGGGGGAAGUGGAAUUCCCGGUGUAGUGGUGGAAUGCGUAGAUAUCGGGAGGAACACCGGUGGCGAAGGCGGCGUUCUGGACUGCAACUGACACUGAUGAACGAAAGCCAGGGGAGCAAACGGG